AUUGAACGCUGGCGGCAGGCCUAACACAUGCAAGUCGAGCGGUAGAGAGGUGCUUGCAUCUCUUGAGAGCGGCGGACGGGUGAGUAAUGCCUAGGAAUCUGCCUAGUGGUGGGGGAUAACGUUCGGAAACGGACGCUAAUACCGCAUACGUCCUACGGGAGAAAGGCGGGGGAUCUUCGGACCUCGCGCCAUUAGAUGAGCCUAGGUCGGAUUAGCUUAGUUGGUGAGGUAAUGGCUCACCAAGGCGACGAUCCGUAACUGGUCUGAGAGGAUGAUCAGUCACACUGGAACUGAGACACGGUCCAGACUCCUACGGGAGCAGCAGUGGGAAUAUGGACAAUGGGCGAAAGACCUGACUCCAGCCAUGCCGCGUGUGUGAAGAAGGUCUU
rnacentral:rRNA from 1 species